GACGAACGCUGUCGGCGUGCCUAAUACAUGCAAGUAGGACGCAGUUGCGAACGGGUGAGUAACGCGUAGGUAACUACCUAUUAGAGGGGGAUAACUAUUGGAAACGAUAGCUAAUACCGCAUACUCGUAGAUGGACCUGCGUUGUAUUAGCUAGUCGGUAGGGUCAUGGCCUACCCAGGCAAAGAUACAUAGCCGACCUGGGAGGGGGAGCGGGCAAACUGGGACUGGGAAACGGCCCCGACUCCUACGGGAGGCAGCAGUAGGGAAGCUUCGGCAAUGGGGGGAACCCUGACCGAGCAACGCCGCGGGAGUGAAGAAGGUUGUCGGAUCGUAAAGCUCUGUUGUUAAGGAAACGGUACUUAACCAGAAAGGGACGGCUAACUACGUGCCAGCAGCCGCGGUAAUAC
rnacentral:rRNA from 1 species